AUUGAACGCUAGCGGGAUGCUUUACACAUGCAAGUCGAACGAGUGGCGGACGGGUGAGUAAUAUAUCGGAACGUGCCCAGUAGCGGGGGAUAACUACUCGAAAGAGUGGCUAAUACCGCAUACUAUUCUAGCGGCCGAUAUCGGAUUAGCGAGUUGGUGGGGUAAAGGCUAACCAAGGCAACGAUCCGUAGCGGGUUUGAGAGGACGACCAGCAAAACGGGGACUGAGACACGGCCCAGACUCCUACGGGAGGCAGCAGUGGGGAAUUUUGGACAAUGGGGGAAAGCCUGAUCCAGCCAUGCCGCGUGUAUGAGAAGGCCUUCGGGUUGUAAAGUACUGUUGGCAGAGAAGCGGUAUCUGCAGAAUAAGCACCGGCUAACUACGUGCCAGCAGCCGCGGUAAUUC
rnacentral:rRNA from 1 species